rnacentral:rRNA from 1 species
CCUACGGGUGGCAGCAGUGAGGAAUAUUGGUCAAUGGACGAGAGUCUGAACCAGCCAAGUAGCGUGAAGGAUGACUGCCCUAUGGGUUGUAAACUUCUUUUAUAUGGGAAUAAAACGAGGCACGUGUGCCUUUUUGUAUGUACCUUAUGAAUAAGGAUCGGCUAACUCCGUGCCAGCAGCCGCGGUAAUACGGAGGAUCCGAGCGUUAUCCGGAUUUAUUGGGUUUAAAGGGAGCGUAGGUGGAUUGUUAAGUCAGUUGUGAAAGUUUGCGGCUCAACCGUAAAAUUGCAGUUGAUACUGGCAGUCUGGAGUACAGUAGAGGUAGGCGGAAUGCGUGGUGUAGCGGUGAAAUGCUUAGAUAUCACGAAGAACUCCGAUUGCGAAGGCAGCUCACUAGACUGCAACUGACACUGAUGCUCGAAAGUGUGGGUAUCAAACAGGAUUAGAUACCCCUGUAGUC